UACGGAGGGGGCUAGCGUUGUUCGGAAUUACUGGGCGUAAAGCGCACGUAGGCGGCUUUGUAAGUUAGAGGUGAAAGCCCGGAGCUCAACUCCGGAACUGCCUUUAAAACUGCAUCGCUUGAAUCCAGGAGAGGUGAGUGGAAUUCCGAGUGUAGAGGUGAAAUUCGUAGAUAUUCGGAAGAACACCAGUGGCGAAGGCGGCUCACUGGACUGGUAUUGACGCUGAGGUGCGAAAGCGUGGGGGAGCAAACAGGG
rnacentral:rRNA from 1 species